UGAAGGCUCCAGCCACCCCCUUUCCGUUUCUUCCCUAUUUCACUGCCUCGUGGUUUAAUUUUCAGCCUGAACCAGAUAAUGAAGAGCAGAGAGCUGAAGGAAAAGAAGAAGAAAAUCGUGUUGGCCAGGCCAGAACAGAUGGAUCUUUUUCUGAACAAGUUGUUCAUGUCACCCAGACUGGAACUCUCGAUGGCAAUCAGGCUGCUGC
rnacentral:lncRNA from 1 species